rnacentral:rRNA from 1 species
AUUGAACGCUGGCGGCGUGCUUAACACAUGCAAGUCGAACGCGAAAGCGGCUUCGGCCGCGAGUAGAGUGGCGCACGGGUGAGUAACGCGUGGACAAUCUGCCCUCAUGACCGGGAUAACAGUUGGAAACGGCUGCUAAUACCGGAUACGCUCUGGAUGAACAUUUGGAGGAAAGACGGCCUCUGCAUGCAAGCUGUCGUAUGAGGAUGAGUCCGCGUCCCAUUAGCUUGUUGGUGGGGUAAUGGCCUACCAAGGCGACGAUGGGUAGCCGAUCUGAGAGGAUGAUCGGCCACACUGGAACUGAAACACGGUCCAG